UUCGGAAUUAUUGGGCGUAAAGGGUGCGUAGGCGGUUUUGUAAGGCUUAUGUGAAAUCUACAGGCUCAACUUGUAGUCUGCAUGAGAAACUGCCGGGCUUGAGUAUGGGAGAGGUGAGUGGAAUUCCUGGUGUAGCGGUGAAAUGCGUAGAUAUCAGGAGGAACACCUGUGGCGAAAGCGGCUCACUGGACCAUAACUGACGCUGAUGCACGAAAGCUAGGGGAGCAAACAGG
rnacentral:rRNA from 1 species